ensembl:miRNA
GGGCGCCAAGGCUGAGCUGCCUUCCUCCUGGAUCCACUCCGUCCACCUGGAAGAGUCUGUCAUGCUUCCUCCUGGGCAGGAACUGGGAUUCGAGCAGGCGGUUGUGAAUGGUG